rnacentral:rRNA from 1 species
GAUGAACGCUGGCGGCGUGCUUAACACAUGCAAGUCGAACGAACAUAUCUUUCGGGAUGUGUUAGUGGCAGACGGGUGCGUAACACGUAGGUGACCUGCCCUAAAGUGGGGAAUAAUUCCGCUAACGCGGGACUAAUACCGCAUAUGUUCGGUAGUUCAUUUUACCGAGUAAAGUCGUAAGACGCUUUGGGAUGGGCCUGCGGCGGAUUAGGUAGUUGGUGGGGUAAUGGCCUACCAAGCCGAUGAUCCGUAGGGGGCGUGAGAGCGUGGCCCCCCACACUGGCACUGAGAUACGGGCCAGACUCCUACGGGAGGCUG